rnacentral:lncRNA from 1 species
AUUAAACCCCGAGAGCAGGCCCAGCCGCCCCGCAAACAAGAUGAAGUACAAACCACCACGUGAGAGGGAGAGAGGGAGGUACAGGGGAGAACCGCAGGCCCAGCCUGUACCCCUCAACCCAGACCUAGGGAACCUGGGCUUCCAAGGCAUUUGCAGCAGAACCUGGUGUAGCUGACUGCAUAGACCCUGGAGCCCCUUCACUUGGGAAUGAGCUGGAAGGUGACAACCCAACUGAAAUCACAUCACGCAGCUGCUGUGGUACAAUGUGACAGGUGACAUGUCGCAUCUUCAGGACCUCAGUCUCCCCCAUUUCCACCCCAGAGGACCAGAGAUGGCCUGCCAUCUAGGACCCACCCAUGAAAGAACCAGAACAAAUGAAGAAGUGGAGUGAGAAAUGUUCCUGGGAAGAAAAACCUGGAAUGUACAGCUACUGAAGAGGAACCCAAAGCUUAAUCACAGACUCCUAACAUCAAAAUAAAGGGAACCAGAUAGCAGCAUUAAAAAUCUCACUCGCCACACAGGGCGGUAUUCACCAGCAAUCUUAGCAUUUUGGAGAUGGAACCUGGAGGAUCGGGAGUUAAAACUCAUCUCCAGAUACAUAAUGGGUUCUAGGCUACCUGAGACUCUGUUUCAAAUAAUAAACAAGUCUCCCCCAUACCAGAAGGCUUAUCAAUCCUGUUUCCAGAACCAAUUCCUUGCCAUGCAUCAAAAGCAUGAUCAGGCAGGGCCAGCAAGAUGGUUCUCUGGGUAAAGUACUUAUGACCUAGGUUAGAUCCCUGGAAUACAGAUAAAGGUUUCCAUAAAGACAAUGGAUUCUGUAAAGUUGUCCUCUGACCUUCCAAUGAUCCUUCAUUGGCAAUAUAUACACACGUGUAUACACAAUGAUAAAUAAAUAAUUUUAAAGUUGU